ACGUUGGAUACUGGAGCGGGGAAGGAUUUCGUGCCAACGGCACUCGUACACGAGUUGUUCGGAUACUGAGCACAACGUUACACCGUUUUGUUAGGAAAGUGAAGGUGCGUCGGCGGCGUGCGUUUUUUUUUUGGUUUUUUUUUUUUUUUUAAAAAAAAAAAAAAAAAAGGCGCCCCCCCCUGGGCCUUUUUGAAAAGGGGGAAA
rnacentral:rRNA from 1 species